AAAAAAGCGAUGAGAAAGAGGAGUACAUACAUAAAGCCUUCUUAAGAGAGCUCGUGGCAGGUGGAAACGAGUGCUGGCUGUGUAUGGAAUGGACUUUUGAGCUGUAGGCUGAACAUAACAAGUAGGCUGUAUCGUGUUAGUCCCGACGUUAUCAGGGGACGCUGUUUCAUAAAAAUGAGACGGUGUAAGCGGGUUUAUUAAGUUGUGCAUAUAAACCAAUAAAGGUGGUACCACGGGUUCUCCCGUCCUUGUA
rnacentral:ncRNA from 1 species